GACUUUCAGCGAUGGAUGUCUCGGAUCUCGUAACGAUGAAGGACGCAGCUAGCUGCGAUACGCAGUGCGACUUGCAAACUUCUGAGAAUCAUUAGAUUUUUGAACGCAAAAGGCACUCUUAGGCUCUGCUUGAGAGUAUGUUCACUUCAGUGGUU